AGUUAUUUUCGGGACAACAGGUUCCUUUUAAAAUAUGGCAAUUUUCAUCCUACCUCAAACGCAGAAGUAGUUUAGAAACAUCUUGCACCAUAUGGCUAUCACAGUGAGAAGACGCUGGACGUCCAUAGGAAAGCAUUGAUUAACGCUUUCCUAUGGGCGGUUUGAAUGCACGCACAGCUCUUGUCGCACAUGCACAUUUGGAGCGGAUGUCGGCAGAGGGAGGAGAGUUCAGACAGCACCGAGGGAGCCAGGCGCUGGAGAAAGGUAAGUGGCUGAAAGGGGUUUAACCCCUUAGGCCCAGGGGGAGGUGAGACCUAAUGACCCUUUAGUGCCAGGAAAAUCAGUUUGUUUUCCUGGCACUAUAGUGGUCCUUUAAUUAAAGUUGUAAAUGUAUCUUUGUUUCUGGC